rnacentral:rRNA from 1 species
GACGAACGCUGGCGGCGUGCUUAACACAUGCAAGUCGAACGGAAAGGCCCUGCUUUUGUGGGGUGCCCGAGUGGCGAACGGGUGAGUAACACGUGAGUGACCUGCCCUUGACUUUGGGAUAACUUCAGGAAACUGGGGCUAAUACCGGAUAGGAGCUCCUGCUGCAUGGUGGGGGUUGGAAAGUUUCGGCGGUUGGGGAUGGACUCGCGGCUUAUCAGCUUGUUGGUGGGGUAGUGGCUUACCAAGGCUUUGACGGGUAGCCGGCCUGAGAGGGUGACCGGCCACAUUGGGACUGAGAUACGGCGCAGACUCGUACGGGAGGCAGCAGUGGGGAAUAUUGCACAAUGGGCGGAAGCCUGAUGCAGCAACGCCGCGUGCGGGAUGACGGCCUUCGGGUUGUAAACCGCUUUCGCCUGUGACGAAGCGUGAGUGACGGUAAUGGGUAAAGAAGCACCGGCUAACUACGUG